GCGGAGCGCGUCCGCGCCGGCGCGUCGAGGGAAGAGGCAGCCGCCGCGAUGGACGCGUUCCUCAUGAUCCGGCGCCACAAGACCACCAUCUUCACUGACGCCAAGGAAUCGAGCACCGUGUUUGAGCUGAAGCGCAUCGUCGAGGGCAUUCUUAAGCGGCCGCCCGAGGAGCAGCGACUGUACAAGGUGCGACCCCCGCGGUUGGGCCUGGGCGGUGGUGGGGCUGAGAGGAACCCCGAUGUCGGUGUCAUCGAUAUAAACAGUGGCAGGCCAGCCGACGCCUGCUCCCGGUCCUAGCCGCGUGGGUGGGGCAUCCGUUGUGCGGAUGGAGCACGAGCUGCACUCUUAUACCG